rnacentral:rRNA from 1 species
ACUCCUACGGGAGGCAGCAGUGGGGAAUAUUGCGCAAUGGGCGAAAGCCUGACGCAGCGACGCCGCGCGGGGGAUGAAGCUUUUCGGAGUGUAAACCCCUUUCGACCCGGACGAAAGCCCGCAAGGGCCUGACGGUACGGGUAUAAGAAGCCCCGGCUNAACUACGUGCCAGCAGCCGCGGUAAAACGUAGGGGGGCCAGCGUUGCUCCGGAAUUACUGGNCGUAAAGGGGCCUGUAGGCGGUGCGGCAAGUCGGAAGUGAAUCUCAGGGCUCCACCCUGAGACUGCUCCCGAAACUGCCGUGCUCGANGCGAGAGAGGCGGGUGGGAAUUGCAGGGNGUAGCGGUGAAAUGGCNUAGNAUAUCUGCAGGAACCAUCCGNAGCGAAAGCGGCCCNNCUGGAUUCGGCACCUG